CCACUUUGGCAAUAUACGCACUAAAAUUGGAAUAAUAGUGAGAAGGUUACCAUGGCUCCUGGGUAAGGAUGACAUGGGCCAGAAGGAAAGGAAAAUAUC
rnacentral:snRNA from 1 species